GUAGUCUCGCACAGAUGCAUAUCAAUAACGGAGGAAAAGAAACUAACAAGGAUUCCCCUAGUAACGGCGAGUGAAGCGGGAAGAGCUCAAAUUUGAAAUCUUAAAGGGUUUCCCUUUACGAAUUGUAGUUUAUAGAAGUGUUUUCUGUUGAGGUUUUGGUAAAAGUUCUUUGGAAUAGGACAUCAUAGAGGGUGAGAAUCCCGUAUUUGACCUUUACUUUCAACUUUGUGAUACACUUUCAAAGAGUCGGAUUGUUUGGGAAUGCAGUCCAAAAUGGGUGGUAAAUUUCAUCUAAAGCUAAAUAUUGGCGAGAGACCGAUAGCGAACAAGUACCGUGAGGGAAAGAUGAAAAGAACUUCGAAAAGAGAGUUAAACAGUACGUGAAAUUGUCAAAAGGGAAGCGUUUGACACCAGUGUUGUUUCUCUGAAAAUCAAUUAAAGAACUGUUUAUGCUAAGCUGUUUAGACUUUAUCAGCUAACUGUUUAGUUUUGAGCUUUUCUUUAAUGCACUUUUCAGUUAACAAGUCAACAUCAAUUUCUUUUGCUGUAAAAAAGCUUGAGGAAGGUGGCUUGAGAUUCGUCUUAAGUGUUUAUAGCCUCUUGCCUAUGCAGUCGGAGAGAUUGAGGUCUGCAGCGUAGAUCCUUCGGGGCUAAAUGCAUUUGUGCUAAGUUAUAACAUUUUAUAGACAACUUGUUGACUAUGAUUUGUCUUGUAGCUUACUCGCUUAUGUUAUUUUACCUACGCUUAGGAUGUUGAUCUGUAGUGCGUGCGC
rnacentral:rRNA from 1 species